rnacentral:misc_RNA from 1 species
UCCGGUUUAUCACCGGCAGUCCCCUAUGAGUCCCCGGCCGAACCGCUGGCAACAUAGGGCAAGGGUUGCGCUCGUUGCGGGACUUAACCCAACAUCUCACGACACGAGCUGACGACAGCCAUGCACCACCUGUGAAGGUGUCCCGGAGGAAAACCGUGUUUCCGCGGCGGUCACCUACAUGUCAAACCCAGGUAAGGUUCUUCGCGUUGCGUCGAAUUAAACCACAUGCUCCGCUGCUUGUGCGGGCCCCCGUCAAUUCCUUUGAGUUUCAACCUUGCGGUCGUACUCCCCAGGCGGGGUACUUCCUGCGUUAGCGCCGGCACCCAGAGGGUCGCUCCCCCAGGCACCUAGUACCCAUCGUUUACGGCGUGGACUAC